rnacentral:tRNA from 1 species
AAAGGGAGACCUAAUUCAGGUAAGAGACGAAAAAAAAGUAGUCGCUACCAAGAAUCAAUCCCAAAAGGUCGGAGCGAGGCGAAAUUGGCUUUCAAACUAGGUUCUGGGUUCAAACAAGACCUGAAUCAGGAACAAGGGCUAUUAGCUCAGGUGGUUAGAGCGCACCCCUGAUAAGGGUGAGGUCCCUGGUUCGAGUCCAGGAUGGCCCACCUGCACAGGUGGCAAAAACAAGAGAAGCGAGGAAUCAGCACCUUAUCUUACUGACAUAGUAAGAGAGAAUGCUGGCUCUGAGUAAAGAGUCUAGAGGAACCUUGAAAACUGCAUAGAGCUAGGUGAAAAAGCCAAAAAAGAAGACCGCAAG